rfam:Dichanthelium oligosanthes cultivar Kellogg 1175 unplaced genomic scaffold Do_version_2_scaffold242, whole genome shotgun sequence.
AGCUGCGUGGUGAGCACAAAGCGAACUAUUCUUUCGCCUUUUACUAAAGAAUACCGUGUGCUCGCCACAACAAGCAGCAUACACCAAUUUUUUGAGGGAUCCCUCUCUAUGUGAGAGAGG